rnacentral:rRNA from 1 species
GGGGCCCGCACAAGCGGUGGAGCAUGUGGUUUAAUUCGAUGCAACGCGAAGAACCUUACCUGGGCUUGACAUCCCUGGAAUCCCCUGGAAACAGGGGAGUGCCCUUCGGGGAGGCCAGGAGACAGGUGCUGCAUGGCUGUCGUCAGCUCGUGUCGUGAGAUGUUGGGUUAAGUCCCGCAACGAGCGCAACCCUUGUCUUUAGUUGCCAUCAUUUAGUUGGGCACUCUAAAGAGACUGCCGGUGUUAAACCGGAGGAAGUGGGGACGACGUCAAGUCCUCAUGGCCUUUAUGCCCAGGGCUACACACGUGCUACAAUGGGCGGUACAAAGGGUCGCAAACCUGUGAAGGGGAGCUAAUCCCAAAAAGCCGUCCUCAGUUCGGAUCGGAGUCUGCAACUCGACUCCGUGAAGUUGGAAUCGCUAGUAAUCGUGGAUCAGAAUGCCACGGUGAAUACGUUCCCGGGCCUU